rnacentral:rRNA from 1 species
GACAGAGGUGCCGAGCGUUAGGCGGAAUCACUGGGCUUAAAGCGUGUGUAGGCGGAUCGUUAAGUACCUUGUGAAAUCCCACGGCUCAACCGUGGAACUGCUGGGUAUACUGGCGAUCUUGAGCCACCUAGGGGCGAGCGGAACAAGCGGUGGAGCGGUGAAAUGCGUAGAUAUCGCUUGGAACGCCGGACGGUGAAAACAGCUCGCUGGGGGUGUGCUGACGCUGAGACACGAAAGCCAGGGGAGCGAACGGG